ACAGUAGAGGUGGGCGGAAUUCGUGGUGUAGCGGUGAAAUGCUUAGAUAUCACGAAGAACUCCGAUUGCGAAGGCAGCUCACUGGAGUGUAACUGACGCUGAUGCUCGAAAGUGUGGGUAUCAAACAGGAUUAGAUACCCUGGUAGUCCACACGGUAAACGAUGAAUACUCGCUGUUUGCGAUAUACUGCAAGCGGCCAAGCGAAAGCGUUAAGUAUUCCACCUGGGGAGUACGCCGGCAACGGUGAAACUCAAAGGAAUUGACGGGGGCCCGCACAAGCGGAGGAACAUGUGGUUUAAUUCGAUGAUACGCGAGGAACCUUACCCGGGCUUGAAAGUUACUGACGAUUCUGGAAACAGGAUUUCCCUUUGGGGCAGGAAACUAGGUGCUGCAUGGUUGUCGUCAGCUCGUGCCGUGAGGUGUCGGGUUAAGUCCCAUAACGAGCGCAACCCCUACCGUUAGUUGCCAUCAGGUCAAGCUGGGCACUCUGGCGGGACUGCCGGUGUAAGCCGAGAGGAAGGUGGGGAUGACGUCAAAUCAGCACGGCCCUUACGUCCGGGGCUACACACGUGUUACAAUGGUAGGUACAGAGGGUCGCUACUCCGUGAGGAGAUGCCAAUCUCGAAAGCCUAUCUCAGUUCGGAUUGGAGGCUGAAACCCGCCUCCAUGAAGUUGGAUUCGCUAGUAAUCGCGCAUCAGCCAUGGCGCGGUGAAUACGUUCCCGGGCCUUGUACACACCGCCCGUCAAGCCAUGGAAGCCGGGAGUACCUGAAGCAUGCAACCGCAAGGAGCGUACGAAGGUAAUACCGGUAACUGGGGCUAAGUCGUAACAAGGUAGCCGUACCGGAAGGUGCGGCUG
rnacentral:rRNA from 1 species